rnacentral:rRNA from 1 species
GACGAACGCUGGCGGCGUGCCUAAUACAUGCAAGUUGAGCGCUGAAGGUUGGUACUUGUACCAACUGGAUGAGCAGCGAACGGGUGAGUAACGCGUGGGGAAUCUGCCUUUGAGCGGGGACAACAUUUGGAAAGGAAUGCUAAUACCGCAUAAAAACUUUAAACACAAGUUUUAAGUUUGAAAGAUGCAAUUGCAUCACUCAAAGAUGAUCCCGCGUUGUAUUAGCUAGUUGGUGAGGUAAAGGCUCACCAAGGCGAUGAUACAUAGCCGACCUGAGAGGGUGAUCGGCCACAUUGGGACUGAGACACGGCCCAAACUCCUACGGGAGGCAGCAGUAGGGAAUCUUCGGCAAUGGACGAAAGUCUGACCGAGCAGCGCCGCGUGAGUGAAGAAGGUUUUCGGAUCGUAAAACUCUGUUGGUAGAGAAGAAUGUUGGUGAGAGUGGAAAGCUCAUCAAGUGACGGUAACUACCCAGAAAGGGACGGCUAACUACGUG